GAUGAACGCUGGCGGCGUGCCUAAUACAUGCAAGUCGAGCGAACGGACGAGAAGCUUGCUUCUCUGAUGUUAGCGGCGGACGGGUGAGUAACACGUGGAUAACCUACCUAUAAGACUGGGAUAACUUCGGGAAACCGGAGCUAAUACCGGAUAAUAUUUUGAACCGCAUGGUUCAAAAGUGAAAGACGGUCUUGCUGUCACUUAUAGAUGGAUCCGCGCUGCAUUAGCUAGUUGGUAAGGUAACGGCUUACCAAGGCAACGAUGCAUAGCCGACCUGAGAGGGUGAUCGGCCACACUGGAACUGAGACACGGUCCAGACUCCUACGGGAGGCAGCAGUAGGGAAUCUUCCGCAAAGGGCGAAAGCCUGACGGAGCAACGCCGCGUGAGUGAUGAAGGUCUUCGGAUCGUAAAACUCUGUUAUUAGGGAAGAACAUAUGUGUAAGUGACUGUGCACAUCUUGACGGUACCUAAUCAGAAAGCCACGGCUAACUACGUG
rnacentral:rRNA from 1 species